rnacentral:rRNA from 1 species
AUUGAACGCUGGCGGCAUGCUUUACACAUGCAAGUCGAACGGUAACAGGCCGCAAGGUGCUGACGAGUGGCGAACGGGUGAGUAAUGCAUCGGAACGUGCCCAGUCGUGGGGGAUAACUACUCGAAAGAGUAGCUAAUACCGCAUACGAUCUAUGGAUGAAAGCGGGGGACCGUAAGGCCUCGCGCGAUUGGAGCGGCCGAUGUCAGAUUAGGUAGUUGGUGGGGUAAAGGCUCACCAAGCCAACGAUCUGUAGCUGGUCUGAGAGGACAACCAGCCACACUGGGACUGAGACACGGCCCAGACUCCUACGGGAGGCAGCAGUGGGGAAUUUUGGACAAUGGGCGCAAGCCUGAUCCAGCAAUGCCGCGUGCAGGAAGAAGGCCUUCGGGUUGUAAACUGCUUUUGUACGGAACGAAACGGCUCUGGUUAAUACCCGGGGCUAAUGGCGGUACCGUAAGAAUAAGCACCGGCUAACUACGUG